UACGGGGGGGGCAAGCGUUGUUCGGAAUUACUGGGCGUAAAGGGCUCGUAGGCGGCCACCUCAGUCGGUUGUGAAAUCCCUCGGCUUAACCGGGGAACUGCGUCCGAUACUGGGUGGCUUGAAGUUGGGAGAGGGAUGCGGAAUUCCAGGUGUAGCGGUGAAAUGCGUAGAUAUCUGGAGGAACACCGGUGGCGAAGGCGGCAUCCUGGACCAACCUUGACGCUGAGGAGCGAAAGCCAGGGGAGCAAACGGG
rnacentral:rRNA from 2 species